CCAUAGCAACAACAUAACGGCUCCAGGUCCAGCUGAGAUGAUGAUGUCAUUAAACAGCUGGUUGGGUCCUUUAAUCUUUCUACAACGGGAGGAUUCUUCUUUAAUUGUAAUACUUUAACUACGUAUUCCUGGUGACACUUACAGUACUUUUACUGAAGUUACAUCUUGCAUACAGUACUUUAACUUGUAGUAUUUUACAGUGUGGUGUUAGUACUUUUACUGCAGUAAAGGGUCUGAAUGUUUUCUCCACUCAGACGUCUCUGGAGCUGGGGGGGAAAUGAGGAGACGGCAGCCGGGUGGAGUUAGUUACCUUUUAUUCCUCUCAGACGACGACAGCAGGCCGAGCCCGAAGGCACACAAAGGACACUUAGAACAACAGCAAAUUAAAAACAACGCACGGGGGGGGGGGGGGGGGGGGGGCAUUCACACGAGGCCCAAUCAGUGAGAGAGUCCAAAUCCUGCCGACACAAUAAAUAGUUCCAGAGCAGGAGACACUCAGACGCUCAGACGCACUAAAUCAGA